rnacentral:rRNA from 1 species
CACGUAGGGCGCAAGCGUUGUCCGGAAUUAUUGGGCGUAAAGAGCUCGUAGGCGGUCUGUUGCGUCCGCUGUGAAAACUCGGGCUUAACCCCGAGCCUGCAGUGGAUACGGCAGACUAGAGGUAGGUAGGGAGAAUGGAAUUCCCGGUGUAGCGGUGAAAUGCGCAGAUAUCGGGAGGAACACCGAUGGCGAAGGCAGGUCUCUGGGCCACUACUGACGCUGAGAAGCGAAAGCAUGGGAGCGAACAGG